GACGAACGCUGGCGGCGUGCUUAACACAUGCAAGUCGAACGGAAAGGCCCUGCUUUUGUGGGGUGCUCGAGUGGCGAACGGGUGAGUAACACGUGAGUAACCUGCCCUUGACUUUGGGAUAACUUCGGGAAACUGGGGCUAAUACCGGAUAGGAGCUCCUGCUGCAUGGGGGGGGUUGGAAAGUUUCGGCGGUUGGGGAUGGACUCGCGGCUUAUCAGCUUGUUGGUGGGGUAGUGGCUUACCAAGGCUUUGACGGGUAGCCGGCCUGAGAGGGUGACCGGCCACAUUGGGACUGAGAUACGGCCCAGACUCCUACGGGAGGCAGCAGUGGGGAAUAUUGCACAAUGGGCGGAAGCCUGAUGCAGCAACGCCGCGUGCGGGAUGACGGCCUUCGGGUUGUAAACCGCUUUCGCCUGUGACGAAGCGUGAGUGACGGUAAUGGGUAAAGAAGCACCGGCUAACUACGUG
rnacentral:rRNA from 1 species